rnacentral:tmRNA from 1 species
GGGGGCGAACAGGUUCGACGUUAGCUUGUGUCGCCGUCUCAGCAGGCCAUGGUUGACCAGGCCAUGUAAAACAGGGUCAAAAAAACAAAAGCCAACUCCAACGAGCUGGCCUGGGCCCACGCCUAAGUGAGCCUCGCCGGAGGUCGCACCCCCUGCAGCUUCCUCCUGGCGUCAAAAGCAGGGUGCCGUUCCAACUGGCGCGCUUCGUCUGGCGGGAACGAAAGAAAACACGGAGCUGGUCCGGACCAUGUCGUCCUGUGCUAAGGUCCGGACGAGACAAUAACAGGGCUAAGCCUGUAGCGGUUACGGCGUGCGGUUGACGGACCCGGGUGCGAUUCCCGGCGCCUCCAUAA